rnacentral:rRNA from 1 species
UCCAGACUCCUACGGGAGGCAGCAGUGGGGAAUAUUGGACAAUGGGGGGAACCCUGAUCCAGCGACGCCGCGUGAGUGAAGAAGUAUCUCGGUAUGUAAAGCUCUAUCAGCAGGGAAGAAAGGAAUGACGGUACCUGACUAAGAAGCCCCGGCUAACUACGUGCCAGCAGCCGCGGUAAUACGUAGGGGGCAAGCGUUAUCCGGAUUUACUGGGUGUAAAGGGAGCGUAGACGGCGAUGCAAGCCAGAUGUGAAAGCCCGGGGCUCAACCCCCGGACUGCUCUGGAAACUGUACGGCUGGAGUGCAGGAGAGGUAAGUGGAAUUCCUAGUGUAGCGGUGAAAUGCGUAGAUAUUAGGAGGAACACCAGUGGCGAAGGCGGCUUACUGGACUGUAACUGACGUUGAGGCUCGAAAGCGUGGGGAGCAAACAGGAUUAGAUACCCCAGUAGUC